GAUGAACGCUGGCGGCGUGCCUAAUACAUGCAAGUCGAGCGAACGGACGAGAAGCUUGCUUCUCUGAUGUUAGCGGCGGACGGGUGAGUAACACGUGGAUAACCUACCUAUAAGACUGGGAUAACUUCGGGAAACCGGAGCUAAUACCGGAUAAUAUUUUGAACCGCAUGGUUCAAAAGUGAAAGACGGUCUUGCUGUCACUUAUAGAUGGAUCCGCGCUGCAUUAGCUAGUUGGUAAGGUAACGGCUUACCAAGGCAACGAUGCAUAGCCGACCUGAGAGGGGGAUCGGCCACACUGGAACUGAGACACGUUCCAGACUCCGACGGGAGGCAGCAGUAGGGAAUCUUCCGCAAUGGGCGAAAGCCUGACGGAGCAACGCCGCGUGAGUGAUGAAGGUCUUCGGAUCGUAAAACUCUGUUAUUAGGGAAGAACAUAUGUGUAAGUAACUGUGCACAUCUUGACGGUACCUAAUCAGAAAGCCACGGCUAACUACGUG
rnacentral:rRNA from 1 species